GUGCCAGCCGCCGCGGUAAUACGGAGGGUGCAAGCGUUAUCCGGAUUCAUUGGGUUUAAAGGGUGCGCAGGCGGAUACUUAAGUCAGUGGUGAAAUCCCGGGGCUCAACCCCGGAACUGCCAUUGAUACUGAAUAUCUGGAAUACGGUUGAAGUGGGCGGAAUGUAGCAUGUAGCGGUGAAAUGCAUAGAGAUGCUACAGAACACCGAUCGCGAAGGCAGCUCACUAAGCCGAUAUUGACGCUCAGGCACGAAAGCGUGGGGAGCGAACAGGAUUAGAUACCCUGGUAGUCCACGCCGUAAACGAUGAUAACUCGUUGUUGGCGACACACAGUCAGCGACUAAGCGAAAGCGAUAAGUUAUCCACCUGGGGAGUACGAUCGCAAGGUUGAAACUCAAGGGGAAUUGACGG
rnacentral:rRNA from 1 species